rnacentral:rRNA from 1 species
CGGGCCAGUAUCCGCUUUAACCGGGGGACGGAAUUACCUCCGCCUGUUUCCGGAAGCUUACUAGGUUUGCAUCGGCACUUAGCUGAGUCGAGACCACGGCCUUGGGGCGGAAAGGUUGAGCCAGCUUCAGGAAAUCUUCUAACUCAGGUUAUAAGGCCGGUCCCCAUACCGACACAGUGGUUGGAAGAGUAUUCUAAGCGCUUGAGAGAACUCGGGUGAAGAACUAGGCAAAGGGUACGUAACUUCGGGAGAAGUACCCCGCUGACGGUGAGAGACCUGCUCUCUGAGCUAUCGGCGGUCGCAGUGAAAAGGCACCUGCAACUGUUUAUUAAAAACACAGCACUCUGCANACGCGUAAGCGGACGUAUAGGGUGUGACGCCUGCCCGGUGCCGGAAGGUUAAUUGAUGGGGUUAGCUUCGGCGAAGCUCUUGAUCGAAGCCCCGGUAAACGGCGGCCGUAACUAUAACGGUCCUAAGGUAGCGAAAUUCCUUGUCGGGUAAGUUCCGACCUGCACGAAUGGCGUAAUGAUGGGGGCGCUGUCUCCACCCGAGACUCAGUGAAAUCGAAAUCGCAGUGAAGAUGCUGUGUACCCGCGGCUAGACGGAAAGACCCCGUGAACCUUUACUAUAGCUUCACAGUGGACUUUGAACCUGUUUGUGUAGGAUAGCUGGGAGACUUUGAAGCAGUGACGCUAGUCAUUGUGGAGUCGUCCUUGAAAUACCAGCCUGGCAUGUUUGAGGUUCUAACCUAGGUCCCUUAUCGGGAUCGGGGACAUUGUGUGGUGGGUAGUUUGACUGGGGCGGUCUCCUCCCAAAGAGUAACGGAGGAGCACAAAGGUACCCUCAGCACGGUCGGACAUCGUGCAACGAGCGUAAAGGUAGAAGGGUGCUUGACUGCGAGACCUACAAGUCGAGCAGGUGCGAAAGCAGGUCUUAGUGAUCCGGUGGUUCUGUAUGGAAGGGCCAUCGCUCAACGGAUAAAAGGUACUCCGGGGAUAACAGGCUGAUACCGCCCAAGAGUUCAUAUCGACGGCGAUGUUUGCACCUCGAUGUCGGCUCAUCUCAUUAACCGGGGCGGAGCCUCGGCCGACUCAAACCUCUCCCUUCUCUUUNNNNNNNCCCUUUUUUUUUUUUCUUUUU